UGCAGCUCCAGGGGCACGAGAUCUGAAAGCAGAUCCUCCCCUUCCUGUCUUCUUCCUCCCCUUUGGUUUUCUAAGCUCUGGAUUUACAUUAAAGCUACAAAGGGUGCAGCUAUAAUCCACUUGUAUCGGGUCCCUAUUUGGACGGCCUUCUGUCCUCUAUUUACGGACAGGACAGUGACGAGACACAGAACAGUGGGUAGAAGAAGAGUGAGCUUGACAUGUGGCGUCGGACUGAGGUUGGCGCUGAACCCACCGCUCCAGGGGUCUGGCCACCGGCCCGUCACCAUGAACUUGCAUUUAGCAGGUACAAGAAGAUUGAAGAGAUAGCUCGGGUGUCAGGGACUUGAUGGAUUGAGACCACGCAGCCAGACGGGGAAGAAUAAGACGGUGGGAGGGCUUUUUCUCCCCUUGCCUAGCUUUUAUGUCUCCGGCAGUAUGCUGUUAACUGCCGCAGCCUCCUCACAGGACAGAGGUGAUACAGGAACAUCUGUUGGCCGUUAACACUCGGGGAUCCCAUCGAGGUUCUGGAUCAUCUGAUACUAAGUGAGUGUGGAACUCUGUUUUAUCUGAAGCAUUUGCAUUUUAAAUGGAG